GCGGCGUAGGUACUUCGCAUGGACGAAGUCUGACGGAGCAACGCCGCGUGAGUGAUGAAGGUUUUCGGAUCGUAAAGCUCUGUUGUUAGGGAAGAACAAGUGCAAGAGUAACUGCUUGCACCUUGACGGUACCUAACCAGAAAGCCACGGCUAACUACGUGCCAGCAGCCGCGGUAAUACGUAGGUGGCAAGCGUUGUCCGGAAUUAUUGGGCGUAAAGGGCUCGCAGGCGGUUUCUUAAGUCUGAUGUGAAAGCCCCCGGCUCAACCGGGGAGGGUCAUUGGAAACUGGGAAACUUGAGUGCAGAAGAGGAGAGUGGAAUUCCACGUGUAGCGGUGAAAUGCGUAGAGAUGUGGAGGAACACCAGUGGCGAAGGCGACUCUCUGGUCUGUAACUGACGCUGAGGAGCGAAAGCGUGGGGAGCGAACAGGAUUAGAUACCCUGGUAGUCCACGCCGUAAACGAUGAGUGCUAAGUGUUAGGGGGUUUCCGCCCCUUAGUGCUGCAGCUAACGCAUUAAGCACUCCGCCUGGGGAGUACGGUCGCAAGACUGAAACUCAAAGGAAUUGACGGGGGCCCGCACAAGCGGUGGAGCAUGUGGUUUAAUUCGAAGCAACGCGAAGAACCUUACCAGGUCUUGACAUCCUCUGACAACCCUAGAGAUAGGGCUUUCCCUUCGGGGACAGAGUGACAGGUGGUGCAUGGUUGUCGUCAGCUCGUGUCGUGAGAUGUUGGGUUAAGUCCCGCAACGAGCGCAACCCUUGAUCUUAGUUGCCAGCAUUUAGUUGGGCACUCUAAGUGACUGCCGGUGACAAACCGGAGGAAGGUGGGGAUGACAUCAAAUCAUUCAUGCCCCUUAUGACCUGGCUACACACGUGCUUACAAUGCACAGAAACAAAGGGCUGCGAGAUCGCAACGUU
rnacentral:rRNA from 1 species